GUUUCUUCCUGACUACCUAAACAUGAACUGAGCAAGGACAACACUGGACAUGCUAAAGUGGAUUGGUGCGGGGCUGGGGAGGUAAGGCCUCCACAGGCUACUGAGGGGGUGGGAGACAUAGUUCUCCUCAGGGAAGAGCAUACUGAUUGGUUAUUCAUAACAAGUGGUCAGUCCUGAAAACAUACAUAAGGCAACAUGCAAACCGAUCACGUUGUAUUUAGGAAUAUAUAUACAUACAACAGUUUAUGAAAAGUGCUAUGAGUUUGGAAGAGCAAGGAGUGGACUAUGGGAGGGUUUGGGGAGGAUGGGAAAGGGAGUGAUGUAAUUAUAUAAACGAUAAAGUAAUAAAGGACAUAGUUAUCAGAACUAUCCUUACACGGGCGUGAUACCAAAGCAAUGAAAGGAUCUCCUUAGGAAAUGCUAAUUUAUGCAGGAGUUGGGUAAUUUGAGGUCUUUCAGUUUCUGGAACAAACAAGUUAGGCGCCUUUACAUAGGUGGGGAGGAAGCUCAGGGGCCAUCAGUUACUCUUCCCAAGGUGAAGAGGAUAUGCAGAUGUGAAAAUAGGGUCCGCUCCUCCCAGAUAGUCCAGCAUUCUGUGUGUAAUCUUGUAUCUUAGGAUGGAUAAAACCUAUACUUAGAAUAUCUAUCAUGUCCUUCCCAGAGUGAUUGUCUACAAUAGACCAGGGAUGCUGGAAGGGCAGCUUGGACAUUAUAAAGCUUCAGUAACUGCCUGUUUCAUUUCUUGUUUCCUCAGUGCCCCCCCCCCCGCCCCCCCAUAACAAUGAAGGAAUGGGGGGGGGGGCACUUGUAAUUGAAAUGAAAGAAAAAAACCCUGACAGUUCUUGGCCCUGUUCCCAAGCCAUGAGCAAGUAUCUACAGAAUCCACUUAAAGCUGGUGGGGUCACACACAUCCUCAUUCUGUGACCCCAAUGCUUCAGAGAGCCACCUGGUCUGCAAGUGCUGCUGUUUCUGAAAGUAUGCCAGGACCUGGGUCUUUUUUCCCAGAUCCAGAAUAGAGUCGACCUUGCUUGUGUGACUUGACGCUGCAAAUGGUAAAUUUGACAUUCUUGUUUGAGCUGAGGUUAUGGGUACAGAACCACCAGCAUUUGGAGAAUGAAAAGCCUUAGAAGAUAACAGUGGAGCUAGGAAGAGGAAAUAGCAGUGCAUUUGAGAGACCAAGGGACCAGAAUUGGCUGUGGUCUUGUCCUGCCUUGUUCUAGCUAAUGUGCUCAGUCUGCCCCGCCCUGCACGUGUGUGGUGUUGGAAAUGCUUCGUCGGGGUUUCCAACAGCUUCUUCUGACAGUAUAAUAUUUGCAAGGGCAUUAUUCAACAAUUUUAUUUUUACUUCAUGUUCUGUGGGAUUAUUUUUUCUAAAGUCCUCUGUUUUGCACCACUAAUGGUCCCUUUAAGACAGCCUUUCCUAGGUAAAUGACCUCACAAGAAACUUAACGUACAGUUGGCCCACUCCAUAAACAGUUUUCCUUGUUCUCUCUAAAGAUGCUGUUCCUGUUAAUCCUCUGCCGCCUCCUCCCUGAUUGGAUUCUUUGAGCUUUGAGGUUUUAACAGUUGUUAGGUUGGGUACUCACUGUCUCCUUUGCCUCACUGGUGUUUGAUGUGAUCUGUUUGUCUAGAAUGUGUUGGACCUCAGUCUGCAUCCAGCCAUCUGACCAUUUAAAAUGUAAAAUUUUUGUUUACUUAGCAUUUGUGGAGUUUUGUGACAUUCUUUCCUUGAAGAAUGUUAAGUCCAUUAGGGAAACAGCCGUCGGUGGUUGCAGCACAGAAGGGGAGCUACUGAAGGCGGUGUCCCCGUUGUCCUGUUGAGUCCCAGAGUCCCCGAGACUGCCGUUCUCUCCUUAGAUCGAGAUUACAAGGCUGUCAGAGGGCUGAUGGCCCACAAACUCCUGUUGGGUUUUGGAAGUUGGUACCAAAUUCCAUUUAAACAGACAUAAGUUAACGCUCUAAUGCAACUACCAAUCUUUUAAAAAAGUUAGUCAAAAGCGCUAAAUGACUCUUUUUAGUUGUGAAGUUAGUAGCUAAAAUAUUUCCUACUUUAAUACUUUUUAAAGCUUUUAUAGUUUAUACAGUUAAAGAUACUAAAAAUGUGUGUGUGUGUGUGUGUGUGUGUGUGUGUGUGAGAGAGAGAGAGAGAGAGAGAGAGAGAGAGGGAGGAGUAUAUAAGUGUCUCUCAGUUUCAUAGAGGAGGUCAGAGGGCUUUUUAGAGAAGGCAGUGUUUUCUUUACCAUGUGGGUCUUGGAUCUGUCUGACUUGGCAGCCAGCACAUUUACUUACUGAGUCAUUUCUCUGUCCCUAAAAUAUUUCUUGAAAUAGUUACAGAUUUGCAGAAGAGUCACAAAUGUAAUACAGAGAGGUCCCCCUGCCUUCAAUCAUUUGAGAUCAGAUUGUCCAACAAGAUAUGGUAAUCAUCCCCCAAAGUAUUCUUACAGACAGCAAUGCCUUCGUCAGAACCAAGAAAGUAGUAUAUUAUACUGUUUAAUCUUAGACUCCUUUGAAAAUUUGGGAGUCACUCCAGGAAUGUCAUUUGUAGGAGAAGAUUCAGAUAAGAGUUGCAUUGUUUAGUUUAUCCUUCAUUUUGGAAUAGUUUCUUAGUUUUGUUUUUUUUUCCUUUCAUGAUAUUAAAGUAUUUUCAAAUU
rnacentral:lncRNA from 1 species